rnacentral:lncRNA from 1 species
CUUAGGCGUGUCGUUAAAAUCUGAUUCGAUAUGUGCAGGAAAAGGUUUUUUAAAAUGUGGAUAUUGUGGUAAAACUGAUAUGAAGCAUAUUAUUUUAAUAUAUUGUGUUUCACGUUUUAAUAUAGUGUGUCUAACAUAUAAAAAAAUGGGGUUAUCAUUUUGAUAUAUUGUGCUUAAAAUUUUACAAUUUAUGUUUCUUUAUAAUGAUGUUUU